rnacentral:rRNA from 1 species
GUGGGGAAUUUUGGACAAUGGGCGCAAGCCUGAUCCAGCAAUGCCGCGUGCAGGAAGAAGGCCUUCGGGUUGUAAACUGCUUUUGUACGGAACGAAACGGUCCUGGUUAAUACCUGGGGCUAAUGACGGUACCGUAAGAAUAAGCACCGGCUAACUACGUGCCAGCAGCCGCGGUAAUACGUAGGGUGCGAGCGUUAAUCGGAAUUACUGGGCGUAAAGCGUGCGCAGGCGGUGCUGUAAGACAGGCGUGAAAUCCCUGGGCUCAACCUGGGAAUUGCGCUUGUGACUGCAGUGCUGGAGUACGGCAGAGGGGGAUGGAAUUCCGCGUGUAGCAGUGAAAUGCGUAGAUAUGCGGAGGAACACCGAUGGCGAAGGCAGUCCCCUGGGCCUGUACUGACGCUCAUGCACGAAAGCGUGGGGAGCAAACAGGAUUAGAAACCCGGGUAGUCC